GGCAAUCAUUUUAAGAAUUUCUUUCAUAUAAAAUAAUAUUUUAAACAAAAAAUUGUAACACAAAACAAAUUUGAUUACAAAAUGAUAAUCCUGCCAUCAUCUUCUUCUCCCUUUCGCCAUCAAAGACCAAUUCAAUCAGCUGUAACUUCAAAAUAAAAAUCAAAAUCAGAACUCUCAAAUCCAAUCGUCACUCGAACGCUAGACAAACAGCUGUUAAAGCUUCCUUCUCGCCGUCUCUAUAAUCGCGGUGUAGUGUUUGGCCAGAGGAGUCUGCUAAUGGCAAAAGUGUAGCCGGAAACCGGUUCAAUGCCAUUCAACAAUCAUCUUUUCAAUCUUUAUGUUGAGAAUUAUAAGUAUAUUUAUGAUGCCCACUAGAUGUUCGAUAAAAUUCUCCAUAGAGAUGUUUGCACUAGGACUACUGAUCUAAUUCUUGGUUUUGCUUUGUGGUGCCGGGAAGACAGCUCUGGCGCUUGGAAUCUCACAGGAACUUAGGAGUAAGGUUCCAAUUUGCCCGAUGGUCGGAUCAAAAGUAUACUCUUCAGAAGUGAAGAAAAUUGAAGUUUUAAUGGAAAUUUUUAUAGGGAAAUUGGUCUACGUAUCAAGGAAAACAAAGAGGUCUAUGAAGGAGAGGCAAGUUAAAUUUGCAAUGUUCCUUGUCAAUAAUCAAAAUUAUUACUUUUCAUAUUCAGGAAGUGUUAGUUUGUCCUAGUUCAUGAUGUUUUGUCAUGUGAUAUAAUGAUUGGUGAGUAUAUGUAUGGGAGAGAUCUGGAUUUCUUGAUAAUGGGUUUAUUAGAAAAUCUCUUUCGAAUAAUGUAUUGCAAAUUCAGAAAAAUGGGAGGUGCUUCCAGAUCAA